GUGCUAGCUUUGGCAGCACAUAUACUAAAAUUGAAAUGGUAGAGAGAAGAUUAGCAUGGCCCUUGUGCAGGGAUGAUGUACAAAUUCAUGAAGUAUUCCAUAUUUUU